GUGAGACAAGGUGGUGCAUGGCUGUCGUCAGCUCGUGUCGUGAGAUGUUGGGUUAAGUCCCGCAACGAGCGCAACCCUUGUCAUUAGUUGCUACGAAAGGGCACUCUAAUGAGACUGCCGGUGACAAACCGGAGGAAGGUGGGGAUGACGUCAGGUCCUCAUGGCCCUUAUGGGUAGGGCUACACACGUCAUACAAUGGCCGGUACAGAGGGCUGCCAACCCGCGAGGGGGAGCCAAUCCCAGAAAACCGGUCGUAGUCCGNAUAGCAGUCUGCAACUCGACUGCGUGAAGUCGGAAUCGCUAGUAAUCGCGGAUCAGCUUGCCGCGGUGAAUACGUUCCCGGGUCUUGUACACACCGCCCGUCACACCAUGGGAGCGGGUUCUGCCAGAAGUAGUUAGCCUAACCGCAAGGGGGGCGAUUACCACGGCAGGGUUCGUGACUGGGGUGAAGUCGUAACAAGGUAGCCGUAUCGGAAGGUGCGGCUGGAUCACCUCCUU
rnacentral:rRNA from 1 species